AGAACGAACGCUGGCGGCAGGCCUAAUACAUGCAAGUCGAACGCACUCUUCGGAGUGAGUGGCAGACGGGUGAGUAACGCGUGGGAACCUUCCUUGUAGUACGGAAUAACUCCGGGAAACCGGUGCUAAUACCGUAUACGCCCUCCGGGGGAAAGAUUUAUCGCUACAAGAUGGGCCCGCGUUGGAUUAGCUAGUUGGUAGGGUAAUGGCCUACCAAGGCUACGAUCCAUAGCUGGUCUGAGAGGAUGAUCAGCCACACUGGGACUGAGACACGGCCCAGACUCCUACGGGAGGCAGCAGUAGGGAAUCUUGGACAAUGGGCGAAAGCCUGAUCCAGCCAUGCCGCGUGAGUGAAGAAGGCCUUAGGGUUGUAAAGCUCUUUUGGCGGGGACGAUAAUGACGGUACCGCAGAAUAAGCCCGGCUAACUUCGUGCCAGCAGCCGC
rnacentral:rRNA from 1 species